UAGUGGUGAGCUGCAUUCCUGAAUGGCUGCAAUCCAUGUGCUGAAGGUUUACCCACAAUGCUGUUCAGGAAGUUCCGGAUUGUGACCCAGCGUCAGUGAAGGAACAGCGAUGUAUCUCCAAGGCAGGAUGAUUGCACAUAAUGCAAGAAAAUAACAUUCGAAAGAAGGUGAUGCAAGUUCUCUCCUGGUUAUGGCUGAACAGAACUUUCCGGUCACUUCAGAAGGCUGCCACUGGACAUUUGGAAUAAUUUGGUGAAGCCUCUGGAAGUUUCUAAAGCUGGUUACAAUAGACACAUCGAGACACCGUCCUUAUGAAAUGCAGCACUUGCCAUUAUCAGAGCCUAUCCCAAAAGCAACAAGGACAACAAAGCUUUUGGACACUCUGAAUUCCAGCUGGGCCAGACAGGAGAGCUAACUAAACCAGUCAUGUGCAAGGAAGUGCUAAGGACAAUGUUGUGUGUGGAGAAAACCUUUGUUCUAUGAACAGCCACAUAGCAAGCACAUAGGGAGCUAAGUCAGACUGAAGUCAGAUCACAUGGAGCUCAGAUGUAGUCUCCCUCACCAACCCUUGCCUAUCAUUAUGUUCAAUAAAGCCUCUUAAUGUCCACU